UACGUAGGGUGCAAGCGUUAAUCGGAAUUACUGGGCGUAAAGCGUGCGCAGGCGGUUGUGCAAGACAGAUGUGAAAUCCCCGGGCUCAACCUGGGAAUUGCAUUUGUGACUGCACGGCUAGAGUGUGUCAGAGGGGGGUAGAAUUCCACGUGUAGCAGUGAAAUGCGUAGAUAUGUGGAGGAAUACCGAUGGCGAAGGCAGCCCCCUGGGAUAACACUGACGCUCAUGCACGAAAGCGUGGGGGGCAAACAGG
rnacentral:rRNA from 1 species